UCUAUUUUCUUUUCAUGGCAAUGCAUUACUGGUCCCGUUUUUGUGAGGCUACUUUUAUCUUAAGAUGGACAGCAUUUUGUCGAGUGGAUGUAAAUAACAGCUAAAUCGUUGGUGAUUUUGACCUGGAGUUUAUGGCAACUAUGACGUUAGGCGACUGCAAUGGUUUCACUCGCAUGAACAAACGGAAAGUACCCAAGGAUAAUUUGUUAAAGAAGUAUUUUGGGUGUGCAGCUUCAGAAACUGAAUUCCUUACUGAAUGGUACAUGGUAGAGAGAUUUGGCUUCAUUUACUGUCAGUCAUUUCCUCUGCUUGUACUUUUCAGUUUAGCCUGAGCCUGAAGAGUAACAACUGAAUCAACAGAAGUAUGGAUCUGUACAAUGUUUCAAGGGUUUUCAUCUGUAGAGAUUUCAUUGGGUCCCUAACUCUUGAGAAGGCUGUGGUUGCUUCCCGUAACUCAAAGGUUACAGCCGGUUUUUCAGGACUUUGUGAUUGAGAGUUAACUGUACUAUGUAGUAUUUUGUCUACACAUCUGAGGAGCAAAAGCGAACUGUGUUAGCUUUAGCUAACUGAGCUGUUAGCGAAAGAUAACAGCUCAGGCUCAUUGAUCUCUUGAAUUUACAGUGAUUGGCAUAGUUAACCUAAAUUAAUUUUUACUGUGUACUUGUUAGGUAAUUUUUAUGCCUUCUGAAACCUCUUUACACACCCUUGAUGAAAAAGUUACCCAAUUUUACUCCAUAUAGAGAUGUUUGGUGCU